rnacentral:rRNA from 1 species
GAUGAACGCUAGCGGCAGGCCUAAUACAUGCAAGCUGAACGGUAACUUUUGUAGCAAGUACAGAAGCAAGAGUAGCGUAAGGGUGCGUAACACGUAUGCAAUCUGCCCUUAACUGGCGGAUAGCUCCCCGAAAGGGGAAUUAACCCGCCAUAGGAACUGGGAGUGGCAUCACUUCCUUUUUAAAACUCCGGUGGUUAAGGAUGAGCAUGCGGCUGAUUAGUUAGUUGGCGGGUAACGGCCACCAAG